AACAGAUGGUGUAGUUAGGUUAGCAACAUUUCAAAUGCUGUAUAAUUUCGAAAAUUGUUUGUUCGUUUAGCGAUAUUGAAAACACUUAAUGAUGUUUUCAAGGACAUUGGUACUCAAAAAUACAAUUUUUGGAGUUUUCAUUUAUACAUUGUGUGUGUGAGUAUGGAUGUAUGUAUUUCCAGUUGAGCACCUAUAUUAGGAAAAUACUUUUUUAUAAAUUUUAUCACGUUUCACGGAAUUAUUUAAGCCAUAAUCGGUUUAAAAAAAUUCAUGUUAUAAAUUAAGUAUGUUUCAUUGUUUUAAGUGUUAUGAUCUAUCUCAUGUUUGAAUAUAGGUCAUUUUUCAUAAUCAUUAAGUCGGUGUCUCCAGCGUUUGCCAUGUUAAAAGGUCUGAGUUUCCUAUAUUUUCCUACUAAAAUAUUUGCUAAAAACUUAAAGGAAAGUCGACUAUGCAGUAAGCUUACUUGACAGUGUUAAUGACAAUGUGAUUUUAAAAUUAGAGUUGUCUAGUCAAUGCAUUAAUAUUGUAGAGUUUGGUAUGCCUGACAUUCGCUAUGGACUCAUAACAUAACAAAUAAAAAAAUGUGUGUGCACACAAAGAAAAUUCUAACAUUGGUUGUAGUUUUUUGUUCCCUGCUAUGAGCUGUCGGGAAAACCCACCAGCUUACAGCAACAUCCGCCACGUUUCCCAUCUGCGAUAAGUCCGGAUUUCACCCCGCAAGAAGCGAACUCGGAUCGCUUCGGUAGGAGCGAGUGGUGUGACCACUCAAAUCAAUUUGGUUAAAAAAAGUUUUGUUUGACUCAACAGUUAAGUGUUUUUGUGUUUUACUUUUAAGAAAAAAACAUAGAUUGUGUUGGAUUCUUCCCCCUACUACUGACAUAAAUUAUUUUAUAAAUAAGAUUUCGAUACAAGGUUAAAUAAGCUCAAUUCUUACACUUUAUUGCAUUGCACAUUCUCCGCUUGGAUAUCCUUGUAGUUGCCGCUUACUCCGCCACUAGCAGCACCUCCUGGAGUAGCUUGUAUCUGCUCUUCAUUAGCUAACUCUACACACGACUCUUCUGCAGUGUCACAUCACUCGGCACGUCCAUUUACAACGAUCAGUUUUGAAUUUACCAUUUGCCAUUAAAGCCUGCUAAAAAAUAGGCAGCAACAUCAAGAAAAACUAGCACAUAUAUUAACAGUGAUGGAACAUAUAAAUGCAAACACUGCAAUUAUGGUGAAACAGCCCCGUUCACGCUGGGAAUACUGAUUAUAAACAUUUUACAUUAUUUGUUGAUUGAUUACAAAAUAUAUUGAUUCCAGUAUAUCGCUGGAGCAGGUUGUUGGAAUAUAUAAUUGGAGGUCAAACUAGCCAUGAUACCCUGUGCCAGUGUGCCCUUCAUUACACAUUAUACUUAUUACCAUUAUUCCAGUUGAUGCGGGGUCUGGUGGUAAGGGGGUUUAGACGACCGUGUUAUGUUGUCAUGUUUUUAUUAAUAAAGGAACGAGUUGUCAGGCUGUAGUUAGCGUAACGCAUAGAAGACGAGGCAUAGAGAUGUGAUAUUGGGAUAUGGAUUCUCGUUGGAAGGUUCGUUUGCUCCUUGUUUUUCAUUUAUUUCAUUCCUUUUUAGCGAAUUUUAAAAACGUUCUAGGACAGCGGCCUUUGUAUUGUUGGCGAUGAUGUUUUGUCUUCGAAAAAACGGCUAUUGAAUUGUUGAAGUUAACUACUUCUCCAUGGCAAUAGCUACUGCGGGCGAAUAUUCCAUGGAUCAAGGGAACCGCCAGAGCUUCUAAUUUUAUUUUUUCAAUUAUAAUCUGAAUCUGUUUUUGAAAUACGUUAUUACAGUAGAAUCACUAACAAUAAAUAUGACAAGACAGGGAAUAUAUAUAUUUUUUUCAUGCCCAUGAAAACAUUUAGUAAAUGUAGACACUGUGUUUGUGUUGUGUGUGUAUUCUGACAAUGUAGAUUUUUAUUCUCCGCAAAAACGUUUUUGUGACAGCCAAAUUUGGCUAUUACUAAAAGACACUAUGCUAGGGUUCACAAAUGUGUGCUGCAUCAAGUCAAUGUCAGGUGUUCAUUGGAUGUAGACACAUUCCCCUUUCUCUCCGGGUCGCAUGUGAUUUGGUCAGUUGUUUUAUAGUCCUUAAAAAUAACCAGUGGCUUGAUUAUUUUGCGGAUUCAUAGGGUAGCAGAGUAGACUUGAAGCACACACACAACAUUGCCCUUGACAGGUGUAAACAAGAAUUGCUUACCCAAACACAUGCAAUCCUCCAAAAAAUGUGAUUUUGUUAUCAAUGAGAACUUUAAAAGGCUUGAUUAUAUAAAGGUAAGCAUAGUCUAGCCUGAUCUGAAAUGAAUCCUCUGAAUCGAAAUGAAUUGUGCUAUCCAAAGACAAUGUUGUAAAUGUUUAAAAAAUGGUACAAAUUUGCAAGAUUUUGUUAUUUUACAUUAGUUCGGUAAAUACACUUAAGGAAAAUUGUAAUUACUUGAACCGGGAAAUGUCACUUUAUAAUUACAAGAUAUAGUUUCAAGCUGGGGUUGACUGGCUACAAGCAGAGCAAAUUUGAGUACAAUUGUCUAGAACCUCUUUAACAUGGAGUGCCAUAUAUCGGCAGUGGGCGAAACUUACCGAGGACAUUGAUCAUGCCAUGGUAUGAGAGCACACAUAAGUUCUGUAUCAAUACAUACUACUGAUUUACACUUUAACGAGAAACCUUUUUGUAAAAUUUGUAAAUUUCUUUAUUCCAUGUACAAAUGUAUGCAGUUCAUAUAUUAAUCUCAGUUAAUAAACCUUGAAUUAAGGUGAUUAUGAAUGCGUAAUCGGACACAUUUAUGAAUGUUGAAUGUUUGUAAAUGUGUGUCGACACCUGGAGAUCUCCAGAGAACGACUGUUAUUGGCGCUUGUUCUCGCUUGUUCUCGCUUGUUCUCGCGAUCACGAGUGAUGCCGCCACCACAUCCUCGUUAGUUGGUGUCUCAUGAGCAUGCGCGACAAUAUCGCAGAUAUAACAAGCAUUCGUGACGGAGGGAAGUCAGCCUGAGGAUGGCGAAAGUACCUUGUGAACUUUGCCUCAAUGAGCUGAUGAAAGAAUGGUUGGGAAGGGGGGGGGGGGGAGGAGGAAAAAAAACAGCUGAUUGUAUGGAAAUAAUCCCCAGCUCGUGCCCGAACAGUAGACGUGGCUGUGGUUGGAAAAGAACAACGCUGCUGACUGUGGUUGCGAUAAAGCACGGGCCAAGUUGUCGAGACGUCUGCCCGCUAGCACGUGACUAAACAAGGCGCAAACAAAACAGCAGCGGUGCAUUAACCGAGUCUCACCAGCAGUUAGAGCUGGCUGCUCCGUUUACAGCUGUGUUCACAGCUUAUCGGUUUUAAUUAGUACUUUGUUCGUCCACAAGAGUGACCGGCUGUUAAAUAGUAUAUAUACUACCAAGAAAGUGGCCAGCAAGGAAAAAUUAUUCCAUCCCACUAAUAUAUACUAUUUUUAUUUUAUGUGAUAAGUUAUAUAUUUUUAACAUGUUAACAGGCCAUGUUCACCUCAUGUAUGACACUGGACUGGGUCCCUGCAUGUGUGUAGCCACCAGUUCGAUUCAAACAGUCGAGAUCUUAUCAAGACAAGGACCACUAGCAGGCGCAAGAGGCAUCAACUCUACGCGGAACACUGCCCUCACCGGGGCAUUCCUAUAUGAGGAGCAUGUCUUUGGCCCCCCUACCUCCAGCUCACAACCACCAGCUGUACUAGCCUUACACCCUACAUGGGCCGGCUCCAUCCACCGAAAUCCCAGCCCCAUACAACCAGAGCCUAGAUCAGUCGGGGGCGGUGAAGCCCGCAUCAGAAUAAGAUACGCUUCUUCCAAUUGCAUUCGGGAGAUUGGUUAGUGCCCCGGCUAUGAUGAGAGGCUGAGGCUACUCAUCCCUGGGUCCUGUCUUGGAUAGGUACUAGAGCUGGCGACAUCUCCGUCUCCUCAAACGACUGUCACCUUCCCACACAGGAGCCAGACCCACUCCCGACCAUAAAUUUUAACGCAACUGUUUUCCAACCCGAAGGUCGGUAUCCUUCACAGCUCCACCCAAAUAUGCACCCUUUAGGGUAGAUAAGUUUUAAACUUCCAGGUAAAGUAAAUUAAGUCUGAACUGUCAAGGGAUUACUCCCCCAUUUGAUCAGAGGCUAGGGCUACCAACCCAGCAUAGUCACCACCUUAGCCCCUGCCUCUCAUCUAACCAGACAGUUGGCUGUGUCCUUAGACCUUAGACCUUAUCAGCACUGCUGGCACCUAACAAUGGGUUUUUGACAUAACAUGGUAAUAUAUUUAGAUAUUUAUUAAAAAUUGAAAUAUUUAAGGAAUUCAAGAUUAAGGGGCCCGCCGAGUCAGCGGUGUGCUUGUGUCGGUGAGGCGGGACGAGUUGGUACUUCUAUUGCGGUAUCGCCUCUGAGAGCAAGGCUGUUGGCGAGCGGGAGGCCUAAGAUGUCCAAGUUCUGUCCCUGCCCGAACACGCCCGAAUAUUCACCUUCGGCCAACCUCGGGUUUAUUUAUAUAUAUUUCUCUGUUUAUUUUAAUGUAGCUAUACUAACCUAACUAACCGUCCAUAGUGUUUUAAAGUGUUUUAAUGUAGCUAACCUAACCGACCACUUUAAAAUUUGAAUUCAUUUUUCCUGCGCAAAAAUAAAACAAAUCCAUAGGUUGGCCGAAGGUGAAUAUUCAUGCGUGUUCGGGCAGGGACAGAACUUGGACAUCUAAGGCUUCCUCAGGCGCGCAGGGAAGCUAUAUUAUAUGGCCGAGAAAUGAAGAAUAGGACGUAAUGCAUACCCCUUGAGUGCUAUCAAGAAUAUACCGGCAGGGCGAACACGGUUUUGUUUAUCGCCCGUCGUAGGUAUUUCGCGUCAUCGGUAUGACACUUCCCCACUAAAAGCGAGCAUGGAUUAUUUUUCGCCUUCUGGAAGACGCCUCACCCACGACAGGCCCGCCAUACAUACGGCGGGAUGGUUUACCUGAGGACUCAUCAUAGCCGUCAUAUGCAGAAUCUUCGUCGAAGGGAGUGGAAGAAAACGAGAAAGCAAGGUAUGAUUAUGCUUACAUAUAUCUUAUUUAUUGUAUAUAUAGUAUUUUAGGUUAUAUAGAUAUAUAUUUAUUGCUCAUUGAAUUUAUUUGGUUGCUUAUUUUAUAAUCCUGCAAUUAAGUCACAUUCCCCAAAUAAGUGUCAACAAAUGCAAACUAACCUAUAAAUGGUUUCAUGUGCUGUUAAAAGUAGUUUCUUGAUGACGUAGGAUGUUUGUAAUAACGCUAUUGUUGUUAAAACUUAGGUAAUAUUCUAAUAAAAUCUAUAGACAAGCAACUACAUAACCUGAGCAUGAACUAAUUAUAUGAAACUAUUGAGACACAAACCUACUUGUGUUUAUUAUUUAAGAUAUAAAAUUAAUACGUGCAAUGCAUGAAAAUGUAUCAUAUUUGAAAUCAGUACUGUUAACUUGUUUUAGAUGCGGGUGAUCUGAAAGGGUUGGAGGUUUAAUACUUCAUGUCCAGCAAAUAAUUCGAAGGCGUCAAUGUAACAGACGGAGAAUGUAUCGCCUAUAGCCGGCAGUUACGAGACAGCUUGAACUUAUUUGAGCUGCGGGGAGUAUUUAUUCAUUCAUUCAUUCAUUCAUUCAUUCAUUCAUUCAUUCAUUCAUGCACUCCGUUUAGUCCCAAAUUAGGGACAUGGAGCAAGUUAAAUACAAUUUUAAUACAACAGAAGUUAAAUAUAAAUCAACAAUACAAAUCAUACAAUCAUAUUACAAAUGGUUCAAAUAAUAUAAAUUGACUGUAUAUAAACCUAUAUCAGUUAUAAAAUAAAUAAUAAAAUACACACACACAGUAGGGCUAUAAUACAAUCAACACCAAGCUAUAAUUAUGCAGAAAUCAGAAUUAAAUUUAUACAUACUAAAAUUGGUGAUCCAAAUAUUCAGUAAUAGUAUAAAAGGUAUGGGUAUGGAGAAAUUCCUUUAAUUUUUUUUUUAAAUAACCAACUGUUCUGAAAACAGUAGUCCACAACUCUUUUUUUUUUGAGUUUGGAGCUGUGUGAAGUGCUGAGACCACAUCUUGGUCAGCAAAGCCAUUGUUUACCAGUGCACUCUCAUAGGCCUAUACAUAUUCUAGAAAUUAAAAUCUUUUUUAUAAGUUUUAAACGUAGUUUUAUAGAUAAUUUGAAUGGCUUAUUAGGUUAGGUUAGCGAAAAUAUGUGAAAUAUUUAGACUUUGAAAAUAUUUAGAUUCCUGAAACAAUGUGUAUUAAUCAAAAAAUAAACCUCAUACUUCAUUUAUUAUUCACAAUAUUGGGAGCCAAUGCUUUAAAUGAUCACCCUUCAAUUUGUGGGAAUUCAUUAGUCUGGAAAAGUUAGUGUUUACAUUGGUUUCAUUAAGCUUAUUGCUUUGACUGCCAAUAACUUAUGUAAUAAAAUUCAAAUUAUUAAUUACAAGUGUUAGUAGCUAUAAGGUUUAGCUAAGUUUUUGUGCUGACAGUAUGCCAGACUGCAGCGGGUAAUUGUGUGUCACAGGUCAGCUAGCUGCUAAGUGGAGACUUCGCAACUCAACGGAUGAGAUACCUGCAGACCUUCGAAGAACAAGAGAGCGUGCAGAGACCAUAAGUGAUUUCAGCCUUGUACCGAGCCACAUCUCCCGACUCCAGUAAGCAACGCUGAGGCCAGUUCUGCAGAGGAGCGGCAUACUCCGGUCCACUGCAGCGCCCGCGACCGUGUGGAGUCGUGAAGGACCGCCCUUUGACAGCAGGGCGCUCAGUAGCGUCUUGUGCUGUGUUCAGCAACAUGCUGAGCCACUACAGAAUAUUGGAACCAGAUGUGAUAGUUGGCGAACCAAUAGAAAGUCUUGUAGGUGAUGCUGGAGAACCUGCGGCCCAGGUUGUUGAGCAUCACUUUCAGAACUAAGCCAGGCAGUAUUUUACAUUACCACCUUUAAUGUUUUCCUGUUUUUAACCUCAUUAGACACAAUGCAAUAAAUUACCAAUGAUUACUUCCGUGUUUGUCAUGUUUAUUGUACAUGGUGAAGAUAACACUUUCGUGUGAAAUACCAAAUCCAUAAUGCUAUUGGGAACACAAGCGCUGUAGUGCCUGGAUUUUUCGAUGCACUCUUCUAUUAAAAACUAUGUUGACAGGUUGCCGACACUGGCCCAAUAGUGGUAGUCUUUAUGAAAAUGUUAGUAGGUGAUGCUAGCAUUACAGUUAAUAGAAAUGUCUGUUAAAAAUAACAUUAUCUGUAACAUAUUUUGUUGUAAAUAACUGUAAAGUUUUUUCUUCUACUGUGAGAGACUUGCAGAAUUUUUAUAUUUACGUAUUUUAUCAAUAUGACAGCAUGUAAAAAAGAAAAUAUUUUCAACUGAUGAAAACCUAAACAUUUUAAAGUGUGUGAAUGAGCACAAAGGCACCAGAGUGUUACUUGCUAAUAUGUUAGGGAUGCCUGUAACAAUUGUGAAUAAUCUUGAAAUCAUUGAAGGAACUGGUGCUCAGUGUGGUGGUUUUCCAAAGAAAAUUUUUCGUGCAGGUGUCUGAUGUUACUAUGAAUUGUUAAUUAAAGUAUGUACCUGUAUGUAUGCUUACCUAUACUCUAUACAGAAUGUAAAUAUGGGACUCUAAUGUUAAUUAUUCUAUUUAGAUGUGCUUCACAUUCUUAAUUAAUAUCAGAGCAUGGUAUGUUCAAGUAUUAUAAUAAUACAGUUCUCUGAGCAAAAAAUAACUUCAUGAAACAUUUCCCACAGUUUAUAUUUACAGACACUCCCUUGAAUAGUGUAAACAUGUGGUUUGACUGUAUACAUUUACUUAUACUUUCUCAUUUCAUGGCAUUAUUGUACAUAGAUUUAACAUUACUUAUAACAAGAAUAAUAUGACAUUUUUUGUGUACAUAUGCAUGUGCCAUUCUAAAAUAUAAUUUCUAAUGCAGUGUUUCAUUUCAAAAUAGUAUGAAAUUGUCUAAGAGUUUUUUUGUGUAAUUGUAUAAUUUGAAGGGUUAGGAAACCCAAUCAAUUUUCCAUUAAUAUGAAAUGUUUUGCAAAACAACUAUUUACAAAUUAGAGAGGAAAUGUAUAUACUUAUUUUUGAACCCUAGAUAUUCACCUACAGUAGAACCCCUUUUUUACACUAUUGAAAGGGGUGUCUGAAAAUGUUGUGACAUGCGAGAAAGUGUAAAAUAAGGGAAAUGUAUGAAGAAUCCUUUUCUCUCUCGGAGAACUGUGAUAUUAUAUUACCUAAACAUAUUGUAUCCUGAUAUACACAUAAUUAUUCAUUAUUAGUGUCGGAAGCAAAUAUAAAAAGUAUAAUUAUACACUUUAGUCCUAUAUUUACAUUCUGUAGUGUGUAUAGGUAAGCAUAAAGUCUAUGUACAUACUUUCAUACUUAAAUUUGCAAUUCAUAAUAUGACAUUUACAGGUUAAUAAUAUUACCAAAAAUGUCAUAAAACAUAAGGAAAGUGUACUAAAGUAAAAGUUAUAUUUUUCAAAGGACAAAAAAUACAGCAAGGUUUCUCAAAAAUUUUUUAAAAAAUGCAAUUUCAGUCAAUCUACACUUCAUAACCAUCACCAUCAUCUCCAUCAGGUUGCUUUUCCUUCAUGUGCAAACUGACAAUAUCAUCAAGAGACUGUUCUUCUUUAGUUUGCACAUGACUGUCAAUGUUGGCAUGAAUUUUCUUCGUCUUCUUCCUCUACACUGUCUUCUUGUUCCACUGUCCUCAUUAGUACACACUGUUCUAGAACUUGGAAAACCUACCUUUCUGAAACAAUUUGAAAUUGUUGUUGAUGUAACUUGUUUCCAUGCAUAGGCAAUUUCAUGCACUGCAUGCAGAACAUUGAUUUUUUUUCUUGUGGAUUUUUGCCAGCAUCCAAGAGUUAAAAAUGUAUUGACAAUCCUUUUCCUGUACUUCCACCUAAAGGCAUGUAUGAUGCUUAAGUCCAAAGGCUGAAGCUCACUGGUGCAGUUUGCUGGGGGAAAAAACAAGCUUUAUAUUCCUUUAAUUUAAAUCCUGAGGGUGAGCUGGGCACUGGUCAAUAAACAGCAAAAAUUUUCUCCCCUUAACACCAAUUGCUGCAUCCAGAGCAUGCAGACGCUGUCAAAUAUUUUUGAUGUCAUGUUGGUCUUUUGAUUUGCCAAAUAUUUUGUUGGCAAAUUUUUAUAUUUUUAAAACACCUUGGAUUCUGUGCAUUUCCUAUCACCAAUGGUUGAAGUGUUUCACUGCCAUCUGAAUUGAUCAUUAGCAAAACUGUGAGCCUUUGUUAACUAAAUUUACCACCAUGACAUUGCUCCCCUUUUAAACACAGUGUUUUGUCUGGGAGAAGAGAAUAAAACAACCUGUUUUUUCUGCAUUAAAAAUGUCCUUCGGGUCAUAUUCUUGUAUUUAUUUGUGAACUGCUCUUUUUUCUACACUUCUACUUUCUCCGCAUACUGCUUUAUGUACAAGGUUAUGUUGUUGAUUGAAACUGUUAAUGUAAUCAUUAAUUCCUAACUGCAUAGCUAUAAAUUGCGCCUUUUCUCUCAAGAAAACACUGUUUCUGGCUACAUUCGAGGCCCUUGCACCCACAAACCAUUCCUUCAAAAGUACUGCAAGUUACUCAUAUUUUGAUGCACGAAUGUAUUUUCUCUUAGAAAAACCACCACACUGAGAUGCAUUUUCUUCAAUCAUUUCAUGAUUUUUCACAAUUGUGUUGAGAUUGAAACAAAUGUACCUUUGUGCCCAUUCACGCACUUUAAAAAGUUGAGUUUUUAAUCAAUUGAAAAUGUUUUCCAUUUUUUCUAUGCUGCCAUCAGGUUAAAAUACGUACAGAUAAAAACACAGUUAAUUACUCACUGCAAAAAACCAACGCUUUCCCUUAUUCACAAUAUUAUUUUUGCCGACCACGUUAUUCUGAACAGAUGUUGACAAAGAUUUAAUACCGGAAAUGUAUAUAGUACGUAAUCCUGAUUGUAUAAGUAAGUGAUGAACAGUAGGAAUUCCUAUAAACUGUAGCGUCAACGUAGCGUGCUAACAUUUUCUUGACGUCUGCCUUUAUUAGGCCAGUGUUGGCAGCCUGUCAGCACAGUUUUUAAUGAAAAAGCACUUUGAAAAAUUCACGAGCUACUGCGCUAGUGUUUCCAACAGCAUUGUUGAUUUGUUAUUCCACCACUAUACUGAUAUCUUCAUAGGUAAGAUGUCCAUGACAAACAUGGAAAUAAGGAAGUUAUGUAGGUAUAUUGCAUAAACAAACAGCGUAAAUUGCGGGAAGCAGAUUAUAGGUGCGUUGUAAUCAACAGGAAUUUAUUGCAUUGCAUUUCAAUGAAGUUAAAACGGGAAAACUUAAAACGUGGUAAUGUAAAAUAGGGGUUCUACUGUAUUUAGGAUAUAAUUGCAGCUGCGACAUAAACUGUAAAUUAGUUCUUCAAUUUGUCAAACACAUUCACUUUAAAUAGCUUCUAUUAUACAAACCAUUAUAUUUAUUAUCUUUUUGAUUUUUAAUUCUUUUUAGUCUUAAAUUCAACAACAGUGCAUGAUUUUGACUAUUUUUCCAAAGACGUAACUAUCGCAUGGCAAAAGAGUUGCCAACUAUUUUGUUGUAGUCCAUGCUUGUAUCCUUUAUUUUUCACAACUGCUAAUACAUGUGACAAAAAAUACAAAUAAUUUUUUUGAUGUAAAAAAAAUUGUGUGUGCUUUGAAUUGACAACACAAUUUUUUGUGCUAUCAUUUCUCGUGGCAGUAGUAAAAUAAUUUGAUUACCUGCACGAUUAAAAUCGCUAGUGCUGUAUAGUUUUUGAUAGUGCUUAUGGAUGUUUUUACUGCAUUGUUAUUUGUUUUGAGUUGAAGUGCUGUAAAUGGUGCCUUUUUAAUUGUGUGCAUUAAUCAGAUAAAGUCAAUUUUAGUACAUGUUUUGAAAAAUAACUUAAUUGUAUCACCAUUUAGCCAUGUAUGUAGUUUAGAACUAAGUUAUUUUCUGUUGAACGUAACCAUAUAUCAAGAAAUAAUAAUAACAAUAAAGCAUUUGCAUUGAAUUUUUAAUAAACUUGACAAAAUACUUGAAAAAUUUUAUGUUAAAAAUUUAAAUAUGUAUUAAGCUACAUAGUUAAAGUGUUAAACAUAAAUGAUAUUUUCUCCUUCAAACUUUAUAUAAAUGUGCAGUAAUUAAUUCAGUGAUUCGUACUAAGUCCAAACAAAUCUAAUUAAAAAAUUGGCUAAUAAAUAAUUCUUAACCUAUAUAACAAACUUAAAUUACUAGUCAAGUUUGUAAUUAAAAUUUAAUGCAACUUAGCAUAUCUUAUUUUACGUAUUAACUUAAAAUACACAGUUAUUAAUUACCCAGUGUUUUUUAGUGAAAUCACCACCUAUUUAUGACAAGUCUAGAAAUUUUGUAUGAUAAGAUGAAAUAACUUUAUGUAACAUUGGGUCUCUUAUAUAAUACAGAGCAGACAUGGCAUAUGAGGAUUGGCAAAUUCGCAAAAUAUAGACCUAUUAAGGAAUAAACAUUACGCAUGUAAUGCAAGAGAGUUUGAAACCAUACAAACUAUUACCAUUGAAACAAACCUUCAUAUUCGAGAUUUGAUGUUGCUUGUGAACUUUAUUUGCUGUGAAAUUUGCAAGAUAAACCUCUCGAAAAGAUUAUUUUAAAAUGUAAACAUAUGAAAGAUUUCCAGCAUCAUGUCCCCUCCUGUGAGUUAACAUUUUGACAAAUGAAACUGCCAAUUGAAAAAAGGUAGCACACAGGGAACAGCUAACAGAAGCUAAGAAAUACCUCAUAAAGGAAAGACAUGGAGUGAAACUGUAGUUUUUUCACAGAUGUAUGCAAAUUGAAAAUGUGAUACACGUAAACAGUCUUCUAAAUGUUUGUGCGGUAGAUUGUAUUGUCAAAUUUUUUUCACUAUUUUGUUAGUUAUUCUGCAAUAUAAUAAUUUUUGUUAUGUAUCUUUUCAUGACUAAUCUAAUAAAAUGUCCAACUUAUAAAAGAAAAAUAAGGUAAACUGCAAUGAUCAUUGCUACGUAUCAGCCCCUUGUGGUGUAGUAACUUCUGGUGCUUUUUCUUGGUGAUGUUUGUAACACAGAUUUGUUUUAGGAAGCUUAGUAGCUUUGGGGAUAUAAGUUUCCUCAAAAUAAUGAUAUUUUGUGCAUAAUAGAUGGGUGUUGUCAAAAUACUUUUGAAAAUGGUGCUAUUAAAAUGUAAUCUGUUGUACCAAAUUUUCCUGAGGCACGUUUUUGCACUGUAUCAUUUGUUACUAAUUUACCCACAGUACAUUAAAAUUUUCUUGCUAUUUUUUAAGAACAUAAAAGUAAUGUUGGUUUGUUAAAACACUUGACAUGAAUGUAAAAAAAUAGCAAAUACUUCAUACUAGUUGUGUUUUAUGUCAUGAAAUAAUUAUUUAUUGAUCUAGUUUUAAUUAGCAAAUUUCAAUUGAUUAUAUUUAUUUUUCGUAAUCAGAGGUUAGUUUACGAUGGUGCCCUACAAUUAAAACUGUUGUGCUAUUUUUUCUCAGGCAAGGAUGUUAUUUACCAUUGAAAUGUCUCAUGUGUGAAAUAGCUAUAAAGUUGUAAGCUGUAUAUUUUAUUUUAAAUUUGUACAAAUAGUUAUUACAUGACUUCCAACUUUAAUUAGUAAUCAGAAAUUAACAUUUGCACAUGCUUGAUUAAAAUUUAAUUAUGCAUUGUUUAGUUGCUAUCAUGGUAACAAUUUGGUUGCAGUUACUUAAGUUUGACUGAAUUACUUUAGUUUUUUCACAGUUGACUUAAUAUCUUUUACACUCUGUAAAUUUUAUACUUACGUGUUUACAUAGUAUUACAAUUAAAAUUAACUCCUGCCCUCUGCUUUAAAUUUAAAAAUACAGAAAACAAAGCCCAGAAGAAAAAAAAAAUGUUUGUGAUAUAUAAAAAAGCUGGUUAGCAGUUUCUGUUAAGAGCCCUAUAAAUUAAAAUUGUCAUAUCAAAUUGGAAGGCUUACGUUUCCAUAAUUUUUUUUAAAGGCGGUUAAAAAUAUUGUUUUGCACAUACUUCAUAACUGUGUGUAUUUUUUCCUUGUGCCUGGCAGAAUAGGUCCACAAAUGUUUAGUUUUUAUUCAUACCGGUACCUGUUAAGAAGGUUUUAUCAUAGAUUAGUUGGAACAAUUGCAUUUAAUAGUUAUAUAUAGUAUAUAAAUAACAUUGUGAGGUAUUAUGUUGUUUUUUCUUUCUCGUACUGUCCACAUAUGUUGCAGGUCUUUUGUCUCAGGUGUUGCAGCAUUAUCUGUAAUUGUUUGUAGUGUUUUAUGUAACAUCCAUUACUCACAACAAACUUUUUAUUUCAUCGCAGAUAGAAAUUUUUUGUUAAUAUCUGAAAUUAUUAAUUUUGAUGUAAGCAGUCUGGUAAACUAACAAAUUAAGAAACACUAUUGGCCAUUUUUACAGUUUGGUAUUGUUUAAAGUUCUGUAGAGUAUUAUGUUGAGAUGUCAUAUCAUCUUAAUGUAAUUAGUUUUGAUUGGGAGGUUAUUUAUAAAAAAAAUUUGUAUACUGUAUUUUUUUGUAUGAAUUGUAAAUAAAUAGUUUAUACUAAUAAAGUUUAUUCUGACAGUGACGAGAAAAUCCUUAUCAUUAACUCCUGGUUUGUGUAGAUAUGUACCUGCUGGCAAUGGUUUCUUAAAUCAUCACUUCCAAGAUUCCCUCAAUAUUUUCCAGUUGGUUUAUUUCAAGGUUUUCAGUUUCCGUGUUUACAUAACUCUAAAGUGUUUCUUCCUUGUUUGGUUCCUGAAAAAUUUAAUUGUGGUUCAUACCGAGUUGUAUCUUCGACAUAGCUGAAGGCAUGGAUGUCAUUCAAAAAUCCUUGGGAAUAGUUUCCAAGGUGUCAAAACCACAAAUUAUGCUUAAGAGAGGAAACUGUGUUGAGACUUAAAAGAGAUUUUAAAAGUAACAGAUUUACAGUGGUGAACAAGAUGUUAUUUAAUGUGCUUCUACUAUUGAACAAUUUGAAUCUCCAAUGUUAUAGUUUGUAGUGAUACACUGGUAGUGAUAAAAAGUUUUAAAAAAAGUUUUGGUGGUGCUAGAAUAAAACUAAUGUUUGAUACGUUGUUUGAAGGAUUCUUGCAAUGAAGUAGUUUUAAAUCAGUAAGUUGAUGCUAUGGUUAAUACACCCACCAAAGACAAACUUAAAUUCGGUAUACAUGUAAACGUUAUGCACAUUUAACGUUUCCACAUGUUUCACAAUCAAUUUGUUAUGCAUGCAUAUGGAAAAUCACCUGCAUGUACCUGAAAUAAUUACAUUUAGAGAAAAUAGUUGUCUAUGAAGUGUGUACAAACUUUUAGAAUAAAUUAAUCUGCUGAUAACACUAAAAACUUUAAUAUAUAGUUUACCAUUAAUAUAAUUUCACAAAUCUACCUGAAUAUAUGCAUGGGAUGUCCUCUUAAAUUUGCUAGUCACAUAUCAUUAAAGAAAGGGUCAAUGAUGGCCUAUGUAAGGCGUGCUUGACUCUACCUUAGUUUAGUUACUGUCCUGUUCUGUAAAACUAAACAUUCCUAAGUAUAGUUUCACAAAAAAAAAAACUACGUGAAAAUUAUUUCAUUACGCAAGAUGAUUUUGUAAACAUACAAAACCAACACUAUCUAGGCCACUAUUGCCAGCUCUCGAAUCAAGGCCUAACACCCACCGCAAGGACUUGUAGCUCGAAACUGGUUAAUUUUGACUCAACAUUAGCGUUUCCAGUGGCUAUGUGCUUCCAGUUUAUUGCAGCAUUUUUUGUACGCGUAUUUUUCAUUUCACGCCACACCUUGAUAAGAGCAUUGCUCUUACUAUACUAUAGCAAGAAUGAGUGAUGUUAUAUUGUUAUACAUUAAAUGCAUCUGUAAUGAAUAAAUUUAUACGCGGCAAAACUUGUUCAAAAUAAGUUUGUAAGGUGUUUACAAAUACAUAACUUUAUUCCACUGGUCCACAGUUUUACCUGGCCCCAGUCCAUUAUAUUUACUUGUGACAGUCUAACACAUUUUAUUAAUGAGCUGUAGGCCUUGUGGCUUUAUCAAUUCGCUUCGCGCACAUUUUGGAUGUGCGAACAUGCAAGUGGCGAGUAGUUGGAAUUGUUGCAGGCUAGCUUUCACGUCUCGUGACAUUGCAACUUAUAUCAAAGCAAGAGGUCUAUUGCAUAUGAAACCAAAACUGUAAUGUUGAUUAAUAAAAGGGCUGGAUCUAACUAGUAAUAUACCUGUAUGGCAUAUGUAUUAAUAUAUCACAUUUUUUUAUGUUUGUUUAUGUUGUUUAUUGUGUUUUAUGCUGCUCAUGCAACCAAAAUAAAAUACCUAUUCUAUUAGACAUUGUGAUGGAAAAAUAACAGAAGGGGAGGUAAAACCAUGCACAGGUUUUCCCCCCUCCACGCUUAAGCUUACUAUGUCACCUUGGUUGUAGCCAGAUCUCUCUUUCCAAGCUCUACCAUCUCAUUUGCAUCUCGCGAACCUUUAUAAUUGUUGGUGUACAAUAAUGAGUGCUAUAUGGAGGUAAAUGCCUAUUUAUGCUGUAUACUGAUGUUCCAAUCACUAAAAUAAUUGGUUUGACAUAUUUAAUUCAUGUCUGUACAAUGCAGAGAAAGGAAAAUGUGCUGAUGAAAUAUACGAAGAUGAACAAAAUAUAAUUUUGAAACAAGUUGACGAAGUGGUAUAAACAAUUCAAGCGGCUAGUUACAAAUCCAAUUGUACCUAUUCAAAAUGACACUCAUUAACAAUAAUCUCUCUAAAUCUUGGUUUCAGAUUUGAAACUAAAUUACAGUUUCGGUUACUUAUUGAUGCAUAAAAUUAACGAAGAUGUUUGGAAAAUUUAUUUUAUUAGAUGAAUAAGUAUUACGUAUGGCCAUUCUAUGCCGCUGGAUUUAAUGUACCAUCUUAGAUCACAUGUACUAUGAAAACAUUCAUCUAGAUUUUUGGAAUGAAUAAGAACACAAAGUGACGAGGAAGCGGAUACUGAGAGCUGCCCGACUGCCCAGCUCAUUCACAGCAUUGUUGUGUGAAGAAAGUGAAGUUCCUGAUUUCGAUAUGUCUUCUCUUGAUUUAACAACACAUUUUCAUUUUAAUACAGGGAAAAAUUUCUUCACGGAUACACUAACAAACGAAAGCUUGACAUAUAUGGCUGGAUGUGUUGCGCAUCAUUUUAUAGUUAAAUAUUCUAAUCUAGGUGUUCCUAUGAAGAUAAGUAACGAGAAAGGAGAAACAUGGACUAAAUUUGUUUCACAUAAGCCAGUAACUCUCUCUGAAAAUAUUUUUCUAGAAUUUCAUGGAAAAUAUUUGUAGUAGAACUGGGAUUUUAGUUUCUUAAUGUAAUUAUUUUGGCUUGUACAGCAUUUAAGUUUUGAAGAAACGACUUAACAAUUUUUUUUUUUCAUAUAAAGGUUUUUAUUCAACAAAUGUUUCGCAAUCACAACGGAAUCCUUGUUUUAUUUAAAAAAAAUUUAAAUUCACGCUUGUUAAGAGGUCAUUGUGUUUUGGAGAUGCCUGCCUAUACGUAUAUUUAAAAUAAUAAACAUGAUGCAGAGCUAAUAUGUGAAGCACAUAAUAAAAUAGAGGAUUCCAGGGAUGUACUCAGGGCCGGUGCAAGGUAAAUUGGCGCCCCAGGUGAAAAACCUUAAUCUCCCCCCCCCCCCCCCCCCCCCCCGUGCGGCCGGACACCCCAAAAAAUUUUUUCCUUUCCUCAAAAUGCAUCACGUAACAAUCAAAUGUAAGCAGGUUUUUUUUUUUUUUUUUUUUUUUUUUU